rnacentral:rRNA from 1 species
GCUGGCGGCGCGGCUAAAACAUGCAAGUCGAACGUGUUGAAAUCGGGGUAACCUGAUUUCAUCUAGUGGCAAACGGGUGAGUAACACGUGAACAACCUACCGUUGAGUUCGGGAUAGCUCUGAGAAAUCAGGAUUAAUACCGGAUGUGUUCGUUCCAUGACAUCGUGGAAUGAGUAAAGAUGCAAAUCGCUCGAUGACGGGUUCGCGGCCUAUUAGCCAGUUGGUGGGGUAACGGCCUACCAAACCUUUGAUGGGUAGUUGGUCUGAGAGGAUGGUCAGCCACACUGGGACUGAGACACGGCCCAGACUCCUACGGGAGGCAGCAGUUAGGAAUUUUCCGCUAUGGGCGAAAGCCUGACGGAGCGACGCCGCGUGAGCGAUGAAGGCCUUCGGGUUGUAAAGCUCUGUCGGAGGGGAAGAAGUUCUGACGGUACCCUCUGAGGAAGCCCCGGCUAACUACGUGCCAGCAGCCGCGGUAAUACGUAGGGGGCAAGCGUUAUCCGGAUUCACUGGGCGUAAAGCGCGUUCAGGCGGUCUGCAAAGUUAGAGGUGAAAUCUUACGGCUUAACCGUGAAACUGCCUUUAAUACUUGUAAACUAGAGUGUGAGAAAGGAAAGUAGAAUUCCCGGUGUAGUAGUGAAAUGCAUAGAUAUCGGGAGGAAUACCAGUGGCGAAGGCGGUUCUCUAACCAGACUGCUGGGCGAAACUCAGAGGAAGGUGGGGAUGAUGUCAAGUCAGCAUGCCCUUUAUGCCUGGGGCUACAAACAUGCUACAAUGCCCAGAACAACGGGCUGCUACACCGUGAGGUGCCGCGAAUCCCUUAAAACUGGGCUCAGUUCGGAUUGCAGGCUGCAACUCGCCUGCAUGAAGCUGGAGUUGCUAGUAACCGCGGGUCAGCAAACCGCGGUGAAUAUGUUCCCGGGCCUUGCACACACCG